AUCUUUCUGACUGCCAGCAGCUGUUUGGACUCUCAUUCUGACGGCACCCAUUCACUGCAGAGUAUCCUCUGGUGAGCAAGUUAUGUCUCCAAAUCUGCUCCAUUGAAGAAACAAACUCUACACCUUAGAUAACCUGUGGGGCCAGCGAGGGAAAGAGGGAUUCAGUGGAGGAAAUCCUGCACCCAUCUGAGUCCCAGUCUCCCAUGAGAAAUUAUUCCUGGCUCACUUGCUGUGAGCAGAAGCUGGAGAUAUACGCUCAUACUGUAAUUACAGGAUGCAUGGAGCAUGACCUGUCAGACUGAGAGAAGUGCCUCGGUCGCUCCUUCAUCCUUCUCUCUUUCUCUCCGCACUGAUGUGUGUCCACAGCCCACUCUUGAACCACCUGGAGGCCUGUGUGUGUGUGUGUGUGUGUGUUGUAUAGUGGAUGACAGGCGCUCUCACUCUCGCUGUGGGUCACUGUCAGAGAGGCAGCAGGUGUUACACAGAUUCUCCAGCCAGAUGAAUCCACAUUCUCAUGCCUGUUUACUCAUUUGA
rnacentral:lncRNA from 1 species